UACGUAGGGGGGCAAGCGUUGUCCGGAAUCAUUGGGCGUAAAGAGCGUGUAGGCGCCAGAAAAGUCCGCUGUGAAAACUCGAGGCUCAACUUCGAGCUGUCGGUGGAAACUUUCUGGCUAGAGUCCGGAAGAGGAGAAUGGAAUUCCUGGUGUAGCGGUGAAAUGCGCAGAUAUCAGAAAGAACACCCGUGGCGAAGGCGGUUCUCUGGGACGGUACUGACGCUGAGACGCGGAAGCGUGGGGAGCAAACAGG
rnacentral:rRNA from 1 species